rnacentral:rRNA from 1 species
UUGGGUUAGUCCCGCAACGAGCGCACCCUCGUUUUUAGUUGCCAUCAUUAAGUUGGGCACUCUAGAGAGACUGCCGGUGACAAACCGGAGGAAGGUGGGGAUGACGUCAAGUCAGCAUGCCCCUUACGUCUUGGGCUACACACGUACUACAAUGCUGUGGACAGAGGGCAGCGAGCUCGCGAGAGCAAGCUAAUCCCAUAAACCACGGCUCAGUUCAGAUUGCAGGCUGCAACUCGCCUGCAUGAAGGAGGAAUCGCUAGUAAUCGCAGGUCAGCAUACUGCGGUGAAUACGUUCCCGGGCCUUGUACACACCGCCCGUCACACCAUGGGAGUUGGCCACGCCCGAAGUCGUUACUCCAACCGUUCGCGGAGGAGGGCGCCGAAGGCAGGGCUGAUGACUGGGGUGAAGUCGUAACAAGGUAACCA